rnacentral:rRNA from 1 species
AGUAUAAUGUGGGAAUCUGCCUUUUGGUUUGGAAUAACACGGGGAAACUUGCGCUAAUACCGGAUAAGCCCUUACGGGGAAAGUUUUAACGCCGAAAGAUGAGCCUGCACUUGAUUAGCUAGUUGGUAAGGUAAAGGCUUACCAAGGCAACGAUCAAUAGCUGUUCUUAGAGGAAGACCAGCCACAUUGGGACUGAGACACGGCCCAGACUCCUACGGGAGGCAGCAGUGGGGAAUCUUGCACAAUGGGGGAAACCCUGAUGCAGCGAUGCCGCGUGAGUGAAGAAGGCCUUCGGGUUGUAAAACUCUUUCGUCGGGGAAGAAAAUGACUGUACCCGAAUAAGAAGGUCCGGCUAACUUCGUGCCAGCAGCCGCGGUAAUACGAAGGGACCUAGCGUAGUUCGGAAUUACUGGGCUUAAAGAGCUCGUAGGUGGUUAAAAAAGUUGAUGGUGAAAUCCCAAGGCUCAACCUUGGAACUGCCAUCAAAACUUUUUAGCUAGAGUGUGAUAGAGGUAAGUGGAAUUUCUAGUGUAGAGGUGAAAUUCGUAGAUAUUAGAAAGAACACCAAAUGCGAAGGCAACUUACUGGGUCACUACUGACACUGAGGAGCGAAAGCAUGGGUAGCGAAGAGGAUUAGAUACCCUCGUAGUCCAUGCCGUAAACGAUGUGUGCUAGACGUUGGAAAUAUAUUUUUCAGUGUCGCAGCGAAAGCAUUAAGCACACCGCCUGGG